rnacentral:sRNA from 1 species
GAAGUACCUCGGCCUCGUGCCCAU